UUGAGUAGGGUCACGAGGAAGAGGUCUUUGGAAACUGUUAACCGAAGCUGCUGUUUACGAACUUGUGGAAUGUAGGUGAGCUGCCGGUCAUGGUGGGGUGUGGUUGCCCAGCCAGAACUCUGACACAUGAGUCAGAUAUGAAGAGCAAGAAAAAAAAGCCUUCAGACCAAGAGGAUCACAGUAUACACAGCAAGCAGCCUAAGAAAACACGAAGACUAAAGGGACCAAGAAUUGAAUGCUGAAAAUAAGGGUAUGGCAAUUGGAUUUGAAGGAAAAUGGCAUCUCUACAAUUAAUCAUCAUGGGAUUUGGAAGACCUAAGGAGAAAACUAGCUGUUAUCCUGAUACCUACUGGCUAUCAAUAUCCUGAAACUUAUACACCACUGCAAAUUAAUCUAUGAAUCCUUAAUAUGUUCUGGACUAUGUGCUAAGCACUUUAUGGCAUCAUGUCAUCUAGUUCUCAACAAAGCUCAGUAAGCGAGUGAUUAUUUGCUUCCUCUACAGUUGAGAAGAAUGGCUUCAGACACAAAAAUCCACCUUGUCAUUCA